AGAAUGCUGUUUUGUCUAGUGUUGAUUCUUCUCUGGAUCCUGUUUCCGAAAACCAUUAAUGGAAACCUGUGUCCUGGAAAAUGUAAAUGUACAAAUGUGACUGUGGAUACUUUAAGAAUGGAUUGCAGGCUUCAAAACCUGUCAGAAAUCCCAGUUAUUCCAAUAUCUACUGAAGAACUGUACCUGCAACAAAACCAAAUCACCACAAUACCACCUGGGAUAUUUGAUAAGUUAAUGAACCUCAAAAAGUUCAAUUUAUCCUCUAACCCACUACAUUGUGACUGCAAGAUUUUGUAUUUAAAAUUGUGGCUGGAUGAUCAAAAACUAGAUAUAGACAAUAGUGCUAUUUGCUCGACACCGGCUACGUUGCAUGGAAUGCCAGUAUCUCAGCUGGCAUCAGCUCAGAUUGAACCCUGCUCCAGGCCGCAUACAUGCUUUGAUUUCCUUGCUAAAGACACUUUCCUAUAUAUUUCUUUAUUUUUGUUGUUCUCCCUAUUGAUCGUGUGCCUGAAAAUAAUCAAACUGAUGAAGUUCAUACUGAAUGUUACAGAUAAUGACAUCACGUUUCCGACGCAUCAAUCUCUCCGAAUUAGUUUGAUAAAAAGAAGAUUUAAUCACAGAUCUAAAAAUGCAUAACCAUCUACUUCUUGUGUGUUACUGGGCUAAUCAUAAUAAUCAGAUGUAAAUGUGCAUGCAACCUGGUCAGUUCACUUUAGUUAAAUAUUUUGGUAAUAGUUUUCAUAUUGUCUGUGUUUUAAUUGAAUUUUCUUAAUUUAAUUGAAUUGAAUAGGAGGACUCAACAAAAGAAAAUCUACAGUGUAAUCUAUCCAUUGCUGGAUACACAAUAAGUCCAACAGUGUUAUUCAAACUGUGUUCACUCAAAAUCUCAAGCCAGUGUAAAAUAUUCACAAGUUCUAAAUGUUAUCUGGGUUAACAAAAUAAACCAACAAAAGAUGAUUGUGGACAAAUGAUAAGUUUGUAAUUUACUGGGCAUGAUAAAUACCAAUCUGUAUUUUCAACUGGCUGACAGCUGCGUGGAUAGUGGAGUAGCCAGGGGUGCUGCAGGGU